AACACAACAUAAUGUGAGUCAAUCUGACAUGAGACCCUCAGAAACUAUAUCAAAAGCCUCCUAUCUCAAGCUCAGUUUUGUGUGUAAUGGUUUUCUUCACUGUUCACUGAAUGUGUUUGCUCAAUUGCAAUCCUUGUAACGGUCAUGUCUUCAACCGGUGAUGGAGCACAGACUAAACAGAUUAGAAAUGUAGGCGAUUUACAGUAGGUGCGUUCCAGUACAUUAGUCAUUGGGGGAUUUAUGUGAGUGACUGGUUGGCGUUCAUAUGAAUACUUGUUUACACAUUAUCAACUUUAGUGAGCACUGUGGAAUUAGCUUUAUAGGGACCAGCUGGUCUACAGGCUGUUUUUAGCUGUCAGAGCCACUGAAACUGUUGCCUGGUCAAAGCAACAGGAACCAAAAGGCCUUAACGUUCUUAAAUUAAGAGCUACUGAUGUAUGAGAUGUUCCUUACUGAGUAUUCUGACUCAUAAUAUCCAGUCACUAAAUCCUCAUGAACUGUUAUUAUAACAACAGUGACGGUAGCUGCAUAAGAUCAUGCAUCAGUUCCUUUAACUUCUGUAAAGUUACCAAAGUCUUAAUGCAUAAUUUUGACUCUUUCACAGAUUCAGAUAUCGUUGCAUUUUAUGUAAUGGCAUACUGUUGCCAUUUUGUCUCAUAAUGUAGCAAACAGCAGAUGCCCCCUUUGUCAUGCUGCCUCGUAGCUGUGUUAGAUAACUUGCUAUGUUAUAGGAUAACUGGGAGAUUUAUCUCAGAAGCAAGCAUUGCUAACAUUAGCAAAGGUUAGUUAGUUAGCUAAUAUUGAUUUACCUUAACAAUAAUAUAAAACGCUUUGUUUUUUUUUUUGCCUCCUGAAGAAAAUUACCAUGGGAUCCUCUGGAUUCUGUAGUUUUAAAUGCUUUGAGGCGUGUACUGUAUAUGAGGCAUGUGUAUCAUAUACAGUAUAUAUACUAUGAUAUAUGUGGGUCAGCAGUUUUGGGGGAAGUACAUAAGGAUCACAACCUGUUGUACGGACAGAAGUAGUAUCUAUUCUCUUCCAAAGUAAGAUCCUCAUUUAAUCAUCUUGAGAAUGCACGCAUGGAUGUCUUGUGGGUGGAGAAAGAGGACGUAGGACAGUCCGGUGAGAAACAAGCACAAUGCUGAUUGUUUCAAAGCAACUUGUGGAGACAAUAAGAGAUAUCUUGAACAAGCCUCUGAUCUAAUGACACCGCCCUGUACCAGCUUCACCCACUCAAACUGCACAGCAAUGCAUGGACAUGGACAAUAUAAACUAUUAACUAGUUAAUUAUGAUUUCGGUGCAUGCACCAGGGUCUCCAGUUCGAUUCUGAACUUGGGUUACUGCCUGUGUAGAGUUUCUGUGCAUGUGAUGAUGACAUUCUCCCACCUCCCAUCCCCUUGAGGUGAAUUUCAAACUGGACUUCAGUCUGAAUUGUAGGAUUUGUAAUCGUAUUGUGGGUAAAUACAUUCAAAUGUGCUCACCGUU